GCAGAGAGCCGGAUGGCCGCGUGCGCAGGGUCCGCCCUGUGUGCGAGGAAAGUCCGGACUCCCUGAGACAACGGUGCCGGGUAACGCCCGGGCGGGGAAACCCGACGGAAAGCGCCACAGAAAACAAACCGCCCUGCCGCUCCGAAGGUUCGCCCAAGGAGAGACCGGCAGGGUCAGGAUGAAACGGUGGGGUAAGAGCCCACCGCACCGCUGGAAACAGGGGUGGCACGGCAAGCCCCACCGGGAGCAAUGCCAAAUAGGGCCUCCGCGCGGGCCGGUCGGGUCCGCCCGAUACCGCCGCUAGGGUUGUUUCACCCGAGAGAGGCCGGGUUGGCAGCUAGAGGCGUCUGGCAACAGGCGUCGCAGAAGAAUGGUCAUCGAACCUUGUCCCACGGGGCAGGGGGAACAAGAUCCGGCUUAUAGGCUCUCUGUGCAA
rfam:Rhodobacteraceae bacterium O3.65 TRIHO_contig000050, whole genome shotgun sequence.